AGCUGAAGCUGCAGGAGUUCCCUGUGGAGGAGCAGCAGGUGCUGAACAUCCUGACCCAAGUGAACGUCACCAGGAGGGAGUGUGAGAUUGAGCUGGAGGGGAUGGAUUUUGAUGAGAAGAAAGAAAUCAAUAAAAGGAAACAGAUGAUCCUUGAAGGGAAGGAGCCGUGGCCGCGGCAGGGCGGGGCCGGCAGGAGGGAGCGGCUGCGGCAGAGGAAGCUGCGGCGGGGCAGGAGCGGCGGGAAGGAGCAGCAGUGACAGCCCGGGCUGCGCUGGGCUGGGACUGGACAUCAAUUAAUUUAAUUAAUUAAAAUCGGGGAGGACAUCCCAAAAUCCUGACACUGAGGAGCUCAGACCUCACCCCGUUCCUGCCAGGCUGCUCCAGAGGAUUCCAGGAUUAUUCCAGAAGGUUGAAAUAUUGUUAUUCCAAAAUUAUUUGGAAUAUAUUAUGAUAAAAGAUUGCAAUAUUAUUAUUCCAAAAGACUGAAAUAUUGUUAUUCCAAAAUUAUUUGGAAUAUAUUAUGCCAAAAGAUUGAAAUAUUGUUAUUCCAAAAGACUGAAAUAUUGUUAUUCCAAAAUUAUUUGGAAUAUAUUAUGACAAAAGGUUGCAAUAUUGUUAUUCCAGAAGAUUGCAAUAUUGUUAUUCCAAAAUAUUGAAAUAUUGUUAUUCUAGAAGGUUGAAAUAUUGUUAUUCCAAAAUUAUUAUGAUAAAAGAUUGCAAUAUUGUUAUUCCAAAAGAUUGCAAUAUUGUUAUUCCAAAAGAUUGCAAUAUUGUUAUUCCAGAAGAUUGCAAUAUUGUUAUUCCAAAAUAUUGAAAUAUUGUUAUUUCAAAAGAUUGAAAUAUUGUUAUUCCAAAAUUAUUUGGAAUAUAUUAUGCCAAAAGAUUGGAGAUUUCAGGGAUCCAGGGGCAGCCACAGCUGCUCUGGGAAUUCCAUCCUGGACAAGAAUUCCUUCCCAAAAUUCCUCCCAAAUUCCCCUUUUCCAGUUUAAAUCCAUCCCCUGUGUGCUGGAAUUCCAUCUUUAUCCCAAAUAUCCCAUUUAGGCUCCAGAAACAGCCUAAGGAAGGUGAGAUUUGAAAUUGAAAUUAAAUCCCACAG